CAGGUUUUAUGUUUAUGAAAUUAUCAAAUGUAUAUCUGUAUGUAUGAGUCCUUGUACUGUAAAUUUCUUAACUUUAACCUUUUCAUUUUACUUGGUUUUUAUUCUAUCAUCAAUGGUACAUUUUGUCAGAUUUUUCACUACCCAUGCAGGUUGUUGCCUGAUUUUUGCAUACAGAAUUUUUAAAACAUGAGAUUAUUUGAAAAUUGGUUUAUAAAUUCAGCUCAUUGUAAACUAGGGGAGGGGGCAUGUGUGAGAAUGAAUAGUUCAUUCUUUGAACAAAACAUUAUUAUCUUCCAGAAUGUUGUAACAUUAGAUGAAGAUAUGUCUGAGAUGAUGAAAACAAAAUGAAUUGUCAUUGUGUGUAAAAUUUCUAUUCCAUAACAAAAAGUUUGUAAAAUGUUUUUAUGUUAGUAAAGUAAAAUCAGAAAAAUUGUGUCUUAAUACAAGUAAGGGUAUGGAAGAUAAUUCUGUUGGAGGAGUCUUUUCUCAGGGUCUAGUACUUAAAUAGUAUGUUAAUGUGUCAUUCAUAAAAACCCUG
rnacentral:lncRNA from 1 species